GAUGAACGCUGGCGGCGUGCCUAAUACAUGCAAGUCGAGCGAACAGACGAGGAGCUUGCUCCUCUGAUGUUAGCGGCGGACGGGUGAGUAACACGUGGAUAACCUACCUAUAAGACUGGGAUAACUUCGGGAAACCGGAGCUAAUACCGGAUAACAUGUUGAACCGCAUGGUUCAACAGUGAAAGACGGUCUUGCUGUCACUUAUAGAUGGAUCCGCGCCGCAUUAGCUAGUUGGUAAGGUAACGGCUUACCAAGGCAACGAUGCGUAGCCGACCUGAGAGGGUGAUCGGCCACACUGGAACUGAGACACGGUCCAGACUCCUACGGGAGGCAGCAGUAGGGAAUCUUCCGCAAUGGGCGAAAGCCUGACGGAGCAACGCCGCGUGAGUGAAGAAGGUCUUCGGAUCGUAAAACUCUGUUAUUAGGGAAGAACAAAUGUGUAAGUAACUAUGCACGUCUUGACGGGACCUAAUCAGAAAGCCACGGCUAACUACGU
rnacentral:rRNA from 1 species